rnacentral:rRNA from 1 species
GUACACGCUGUGACUAGCAUAUCAAUAAGCGGAGGAAAAGAAACUAACAAGGAUUCCCCUAGUAACGGCGAGUGAAGCGGGAAGAGCUCAAAUUUGAAAUCUUAAAGGGUUUCCCUUUACGAAUUGUAGUUUAAAGAAGUGUUUUCUGUUGAGGUUUUGGUAAAAGUUCUUUGGAAUAGGACAUCAUAGAGGGUGAGAAUCCCGUAUUUGACCUUUACUUUCAACUUUGUGAUACACUUUCAAAGAGUCGGAUUGUUUGGGAAUGCAGUCCAAAAUGGGUGGUAAAUUUCAUCUAAAGCUAAAUAUUGGCGAGAGACCGAUAGCGAACAAGUACCGUGAGGGAAAGAUGAAAAGAACUUUGAAAAGAGAGUUAAACAGUACGUGAAAUUGUCAAAAGGGAAGCGUUUGACACCAGGUGUUGUUUUUCUGAAAAUCAAUUAAAGAACUGUUUAUGCUAAGUUGUUUAGACUUUAUCAGCUAUCUGUUUAGUUUUGAGCUUUUCUUUAAUGCACUUUUCAGUUAACAAGUCAACAUCAAUUUCUUUUGCUGUAAAAAAGCUUGAGGAAGGUAGGCUUGAUGAUUCGUCUUAAGUGUUUAUAGCCUCUUGCCUAUGCAGUCGGAGAGAUUGAGGUCUGCAGCGUAGAUCCUUCGGGGCUAAAUGCAUUUGUGCUAAGUUAUAGCAUUUUAUAGACAACUUGUUGACUAUGAUUUGUCUUGUAGCUUACUCGCUUAUGUUAUUUUACCUACGCUUAGGAUGUUGAUAUGCAUGACUGAUAU